rnacentral:rRNA from 1 species
UACGAAGGGUGCAAGCGUUAAUCGGAAUUACUGGGCGUAAAGGGUGCGUAGGUGGUUUCUUAAGUCAGAGGUGAAAGGCUACGGCUCAACCGUAGUAAGCCUUUGAAACUGGGAAACUUGAGUGCAGGAGAGGAGAGUGGAAUUCCUAGUGUAGCGGUGAAAUGCGUAGAUAUUAGGAGGAACACCAGUUGCGAAGGCGACUUUCUGGUCUGUAACUGACACUGAGGCUCGAAAGCGUGGGGAGCGAACAGGAUUAGAUACCCCGUAGUCCCUGAGCGGGCU